UACGUAGGGUGCGAGCGUUAAUCGGAAUUACUGGGCGUAAAGCGUGCGCAGGCGGUGAUGUAAGACAGAUGUGAAAUCCCCGGGCUCAACCUGGGAACUGCAUUUGUGACUGCAUCGCUGGAGUGCGGCAGAGGGGGAUGGAAUUCCGCGUGUAGCAGUGAAAUGCGUAGAUAUGCGGAGGAACACCGAUGGCGAAGGCAAUCCCCUGGGCCUGCACUGACGCUCAUGCACGAAAGCGUGGAGAGCAAACAGG
rnacentral:rRNA from 1 species